rnacentral:rRNA from 1 species
UACGAAGGGGGCUAGCGUUGUUCGGAAUCACUGGGCGUAAAGCGCACGUAGGCGGACUUUUAAGUCAGAGGUGAAAUCCCAAGGCUCAACCUUGGAACUGCCUUUGAUACUGGGAGUCUUGAGGUCGAGAGAGGUGAGUGGAACUGCGAGUGUAGAGGUGAAAUUCGUAGAUAGUUCGCAAGAACACCAGUGGCGAAGGCGGCUCACUGGCUCGACACUGACGCUGGAGGUGCGAAAAGCGUGGGGAGCAAACAGG